rnacentral:rRNA from 1 species
CGCUGGCGGCGUGCCUAAUACAUGCAAGUCGAACGGUCUUUCUAUGGAAGCUUGCUUCCACUGAGAAGAUAGUGGCGAACGGGUGAGUAACACGUGGGUAACCUGCCCAUAAGAGGGGGAUAACAUCCGGAAACGGGUGCUAAUACCGCAUAGUUUUCUUGAUCGCAUGAUUGAGAAAGGAAAGACGGCCUUUGUGCUGUCGCUUAUGGAUGGACCCGCGGCGUAUUAGUUAGUUGGUGAGGUAAUGGCUCACCAAGACGAUGAUACGUAGCCGACCUGAGAGGGUGAUCGGCCACAUUGGGACUGAGACACGGCCCAAACUCCUACGGGAGGCAGCAGUAGGGAAUCUUCCGCAAUGGACGAAAGUCUGACGGAGCAACGCCGCGUGAGUGAAGAAAGGUUUUCGGAUCGUAAAACUCUGUUGUCAGAGAAGAACAAGUUGGAGAGUAACUGCUCCAGCCUUGACGGUAUCUGACCAGAAAGCCACGGCUAACUACGUGCCAGCAGCCGC